UGGGGAAUCUUGCACAAUGGGCGAAAGCCUGAUGCAGCGACGCCGCGUGCGGGAUGAAGGCCUUCGGGUUGUAAACCGCUUUCAGCAGGGACGAGGCCGCAAGGUGACGGUACCUGCAGAAGAAGCCCCGGCUAACUACGUGCAAGCAGCCGCGGUAAUACGUAGGGGGCAAGCGUUAUCCGGAUUCAUUGGGCGUAAAGCGCGCGUAGGCGGUUUGUUAGGUCAGGAGUUAAAUCUGGGGGCUCAACCCCUAUCCGCUCCUGAUACCGGCAGGCUUGAGUCUGGUAGGGGAAGGCGGAAUUCCAAGUGUAGCGAUGAAAUGCGCAGAUAUUUGGAAGAACACCGGUGGCGAAGGCGGCCUUCUGGGCCACGACUGACGCUGAGGCGCGAAAGCUAGGGGAGCGAACAGG
rnacentral:rRNA from 1 species